rnacentral:rRNA from 1 species
GACGAACGCUGGCGGCGUGCCUAAUACAUGCAAGUAGAACGCACAGUUUAUACCGUAGCUUGCUACACCAUAGACUGUGAGUUGCGAACGGGUGAGUAACGCGUAGGUAACCUGCCUGGUAGCGGGGGAUAUCUAUUGGAAACGAUAGCUAAUACCGCAUAAUAUUAAUUAUUGCAUGAUAAUUAAUUGAAAGGUGCAAUUGCACCACUACCAGAUGGACCUGCGUUGUAUUAGCUAGUAGGUGAGGUAACGGCUCACCUAGGCGACGAUACAUAGCCGACCUGAGAGGGUGAUCGGCCACACUGGGACUGAGACACGGCCCAGACUCCUACGGGAGGCAGCAGUAGGGAAUCUUCGGCAAUAGACGAAAGUCUGACCGAGCAACGCCGCGUGAGUGAAGAAGGUUUUCGGAUCGUAAAGCUCUGUUGUAAGAGAAGAACGGGUGUGAGAGUGGAAAGUUCACACUGUGACGGUAUCUUACCAGAAAGGGACGGCUAACUACGUG